GCGAAGGGGACGAGCUCACAAUGCGAGUCGAACGAUGAACCGGUUUCGGCCGGGGAUUAGUGGCGAACGGGUGAGUAACACGUGGGCAAUCUGCCCUGCACUCUGGGACAAGCCCUGGAAACGGGGUCUAAUACCGGAUAUGACCACCGGCCGCAUGGUCUGGUGGUGGAAAGCUCCGGCGGUGCAGGAUGAGCCCGCGGCCUAUCAGCUUGUUGGUGGGGUGAUGGCCUACCAAGGCGACGACGGGUAGCCGGCCUGAGAGGGCGACCGGCCACACUGGGACUGAGACACGGCCCAGACUCCUACGGGAGGCAGCAGUGGGGAAUAUUGCACAAUGGGCGCAAGCCUGAUGCAGCGACGCCGCGUGAGGGAUGACGGCCUUCGGGUUGUAAACCUCUUUCAGCAGGGAAGAAGCGCGAGUGACGGUACCUGCAGAAGAAGCACCGGCUAACUACGUGCCAGCAGCCGCGGUAAUACGUAGGGUGCGAGCGUUGUCCGGAAUUAUUGGGCGUAAAGAGCUCGUAGGCGGCCUGUCGCGUCGGAUGUGAAAGCCCGGGGCUUAACCCCGGGUCUGCAUUCGAUACGGGCAGGCUAGAGUUCGGCAGGGGAGAUUGGAAUUCCUGGUGUAGCGGUGAAAUGCGCAGAUAUCAGGAGGAACACCGGUGGCGAAGGCGGAUCUCUGGGCCGAUACUGACGCUGAGGAGCGAAAGCGUGGGAGGCCAAACAGAACGAGAG
rnacentral:rRNA from 1 species